UUUUUAUUUUUAGGGACUAAAAUGAAAAAUGUACAAAGUUUAGGGACCUAAAUUGAAAUGCAAAAGGUUGCCAAAUAGACACUGACGUGGUAAUUCCGUUAAUUUUAACAGUUUUUUUAACGGUUGGAACGUAAUUGUAAUAAAACCAAGAGGUUAGGGACUCAAUUGCAAAAAAAAAAAGGUUGGGGACUCAAGUGAAAAUUGGUAGGGGACUACCGGUGUAAUUAA
rnacentral:lncRNA from 1 species